GAAAAGUGCAAGUGACAAGACUUCUCUUUCAAGAAGUUAAACGACAAAAGGAAAGGCGAUGGGGAGAAAGGUGACUUGAGGAAGGGAUACUGCAUGCCUGAACAUCAGACAAAUGAGCUCUGAAGAGGCAAGCCAUGAUUCCUGUCCUCCAGAAGGUCACCAUCAGAUGGGAUGUCCUGAAAGCUUCCGCUCAUUCCAACAUUUUGGCACAUUUGAGUGCUCAGAACAUUAACUGAACCAACCCUCACAAUCUCUAUGCUUCAUUAGGAGAAGGAGGAAUUCAAGAUGCCUGAGAGUUUGCAGCAGCUAAAAGGUUCUGAAGAACUUGCUGCUUAUAUCAUACCGACAUCCUGCACCCAAGGUCAAGGGCUGUGUUGGACACCUCCUUACACCAGCUGAGGCCAAGGACAAUCACCUUCACUUUGGAAAUGGGUUUAAAGAAAUACUUCUCACUCUAGCUUAGUAAAACGCAUGUAGUCCUAAACUUUAAGGAUUAAUUUUCUAGAAAACUAAAGCACACCCCAUUAAGCAACCAAAAUGUCCCCGUUCAUAUUUUUUAUGGAACUUGUGCUAGCAGGUGUUUCUCAAGUUACCUGGAGAAAAACCAAACCCUCACCACCUACUGACCCUGGCUGCGUGCGAGGC